UGUGAGGGGUGCUGGAGGUAUCAGAAGUGCGAAUGCUGACAUAAGUAACGAUAAAGCGGGUGAAAAGCCCGCUCGCCGGAAGACCAAGGGUUCCUGUCCAACGUUAAUCGGGGCAGGGUGAGUCGACUCCUAAGGCGAGGCCGAAAGGCGUAGUCGAUGGGAAACAGGUUAAUAUUCCUGUACUUGGUGUUACUGCGAAGGGGGGACGGAGAAGGCUAUGUUGGCCGGGCGACGGUUGUCCCGGUUUAAGCGUGU
rnacentral:rRNA from 1 species